AUACGUAGGGGGCGAGCGUUGUCCGGAAUGAUUGGGCGUAAAGGGCGCGUAGGCGGCCUGUUAAGUCUGGAGUGAAAGUCCUGUUUUCAAGAUGGGAAUUGCUUUGGAGACUGGUUGGCUUGAGUGCGGAAGAGGUAAGUGGAAUUCCCAGUGUAGCGGUGAAAUGCGUAGAGAUUGGGAGGAACACCAGUGGCGAAGGCGACGUACUGGGCCGUAACUGACGCUGAGGCGCGAAAGCGUGGGGAGCGAACAGGAUUAGAUACCCUGGUAGUCCACGCUGUAAACGAUGAAUGCUAGGUGUAGGGGGUAUCGACCCCUCCUGUGCCGGAGUAAACGCAAUAAGCAUUCCGCCUGGGGAGUACGGCCGCAAGGUUGAAACUCAAAGGAAUUGACGGGG
rnacentral:rRNA from 1 species